rnacentral:rRNA from 1 species
UUAACGCUGAGGUGUGAUGACGAGGCACUACGGUGCUGAAGUAACAAAUGCCCUGCUUCCAGGAAAAGCCUCUAAGCAUCAGGUAACAUCAAAUCGUACCCCAAACCGACACAGGUGGUCAGGUAGAGAAUACCAAGGCGCUUGAGAGAACUCGGGUGAAGGAACUAGGCAAAAUGGUGCCGUAACUUCGGGAGAAGGCACGCUGAUAUGUAGGUGAAGCCCCUGCGGGUGGAGCUGAAAUCAGUCGAAGAUACCAGCUGGCUGCAACUGUUUAUUAAAAACACAGCACUGUGCAAACACGAAAGUGGACGUAUACGGUGUGACGCCUGCCCGGUGCCGGAAGGUUAAUUGAUGGGGUUAGCGGCAACGCGAAGCUCUUGAUCGAAGCCCCGGUAAACGGCGGCCGUAACUAUAACGGUCCUAAGGUAGCGAAAUUCCUUGUCGGGUAAGUUCCGACCUGCACGAAUGGCGUAAUGAUGGCCAGGCUGUCUCCACCCGAGACUCAGUGAAAUUGAACUCGCUGUGAAGAUGCAGUGUACCCGCGGCAAGACGGAAAGACCCCGUGAACCUUUACUAUAGCUUGACACUGAACACUGGUCCUUGAUGUGUAGGAUAGGUGGGAGGCUUUGAAGUGUGGACGCCAGUCUGCAUGGAGCCGUCCUUGAAAUACCACCCUUUAAUGGCUGGUGUUCUAACGUAGACCCGUAAUCCGGGUUGCGGACAGUGUCUGGUGGGUAGUUUGACUGGGGCGGUCUCCUCCCAAAGAGUAACGGAGGAGCACGAAGGUUAGCUAAUCCUGGUCGGACAUCAGGAGGUUAGUGCAAUGGCAUAAGCUAGCUUGACUGCGAGAGUGACGGCUCGAGCAGGUGCGAAAGCAGGUCAUAGUGAUCCGGUGGUUCUGAAUGGAAGGGCCAUCGCUCAACGGAUAAAAGGUACUCCGGGGAUAACAGGCUGAUACCGCCCAAGAGUUCAUAUCGACGGCGGUGUUUGGCACCUCGAUGUCGGCUCAUCACAUCCUGGGGCUGAAGUAGGUCCCAAGGGUAUGGCUGUUCGCCAUUUAAAGUGGUACGCGAGCUGGGUUUAGAACGUCGUGAGACAGUUCGGUCCCUAUCUGCCGUGGGCGCUGGAGAAUUGAGGGGGGCUGCUCCUAGUACGAGAGGACCGGAGUGGACGCAUCACUGGUGUUCGGGUUGUCAUGCCAAUGGCACUGCCCGGUAGCUAAAUGCGGAAAAGAUAAGUGCUGAAAGCAUCUAAGCACGAAACUUGCCCCGAGAUGAGUUCUCCCUGAGACUUUAAGUCUCCUGAAGGAACGUUGAAGACGACGACGUUGAUAGGUCGGGUGUGUAAGCGCAGCGAUGCGUUGAGCUAACCGAUACUAAUGAACCGUGAGGCUUAACCUUACAACGCCGAAG